rnacentral:rRNA from 1 species
GACAGAGGAUGCAAGCGUUAUCCGGAAUGAUUGGGCGUAAAGCGUCUGUAGGCGGCUUUUUAAGUCCGCCGUCAAAUCCCAGGGCUCAACCCUGGACAGGCGGUGGAAACUACCAAGCUGGAGUACGGUAGGGGCAGAGGGAAUUGCCGGUGGAGCGGUGAAAUGCGUAGAGAUCGGCAAGAACACCAACGGCGAAAGCGCUCUGCUGGGCCGACACUGACACUGAGAGGCGAAAGCGAGGGGAGCGAAUGGG